AUUGAACGCUGGCGGCAGGCCUAACACAUGCAAGUCGAGCGGAUGAAGGGAGCUUGCUCCUGGAUUCAGCGGCGGACGGGUGAGUAAUGCCUAGGAAUCUGCCUGGUAGUGGGGGAUAACGUCUGGAAACGGGCGCUAAUACCGCAUACGUCCUGAGGGAGAAAGUGGGGGAUCUUCGGACCUCACGCUCUCAGAUGACCCUAGGUCGGAUUAGCUAGUUGGUGGGGUAAAGGCCUACCAAGGCGGCGAUCCGUACCUGGUCUGAGAGGAUGAUCAGUCACACUGGAACUGAGACACGGUCCAGACUCCUACGGGAGGCAGCAGUGGGGAAUAUUGGACAAUGGGCGAAAGCCUGAUCCAGCCAUGCCGCGUGUGUGAAGAAGGUCUUCGGAUUGUAAAGCACUUUAAGUUGGGAGGAAGGGCAGUAAGUUAAUACCUUGCUGUUUUGACGUUACCAACAGAAUAAGCACCGGCUAACUUCGUG
rnacentral:rRNA from 1 species